rnacentral:rRNA from 1 species
UACGGGGGGGGCAAGCGUUGUUCGGAAUUACUGGGCGUAAAGGGCUCGUAGGUGGCCAACUAAGUCAGACGUGAAAUCCCUCGGCUUAACCGGGGAACUGCAUCUGAUACUGGAUGGCUUGAGUUUGGGAGAGGGAUGCGGAAUUCCAGGUGUAGCGGUGAAAUGCGUAGAUAUCUGGAGGAACACCGGUGGCGAAGGCGGCAUCCUGGACCAACAUUGACACUGAUGAGCGAAAGCCAGGGGAGCAAACGGG